UUAGUCCAACUUUUGGGAAAGGAACCCAUAGCCCAUUAGGGUUUUAGCUCUCCAGCCGUCACCCCUCUUUUAUCCUCUCUUCUCUUAUCAUUUCCACUCUCUCUCUCUCCUCUCUCUCUCUCUUGCUCACUCAAUCUCUAUACUUCUCAUGCGCCAUGACCACUAUUUCUACUUCCACAUACUUCUCUCAUCUCAACCAUUAUUUUGACGGUGGAGCAUAUAAUAUCUACACAAGGGAGCUUAAGAAUCAACAUAUCAGACCAAAAAAUGUUAAGAUUUUUAAACAUUGACGAGUUUCAACAGGACAAUUUCUAGCAAAUCUGAAAAUUUGUGGAAGAUCUAAAUUAUUCAAUACUAAUUUAGACAAAACUUGAUAGUCUUAAUCUAAAGAUGUAAACUUGCGACAUUAUAUGAGAAAUUUGAUAUAUUUUGAAGUAUAAUGAACA